AGAGCGGUCGCGAGGAGAGCGCUCCUCGCGCUCCAGAAACCAGCCCGGAAGACGAAGGUAGAUCACUGCCGGCCGGCGGGCGCUCCGAGGAUCCAGGGGAAUUCUUUGCCUCAGCCCCGACGCGGGCUACAGCCUCAUCCCCAUCUCCCAGGCAUGUGCAUCAUCUGAGGACCUUCAGCUGUGUUCACCCCAAACCUUUUCCUUCAGCUGCAAGAGGCGGGCCUCAGCUCCUGAGGCCUCCACGAAGCCUCUGAAGAUCCUCAGGCUGCUGGGUGGCACGCUGGACCCAGGGGAUCCCAGGAGGUAGGCAUUUAUUUGCACGGCAAAGUGGAAGUCCAGUGGGGAAAAAAUUCAGGCCAGAAGUUGGGAGGUUUUAGUUCUGGUUUUGCAUACUCAUGUGGUCAUGUGGAAUUUGCAAAUUUCUUUUACCCUUUGGGGCCUCUGUUAUCACAUCUGUAAAAUGGGGCUAGUAGUGUCCGUCCUGUGUACUUACAAGAUUGUUUGAGGAUCAAAUGAGAUCAUACAUGUGAAAAUGUUUCUUAGACAAUAAAACACUUUACAAAUGUGAGGAUUUGUAUGAU
rnacentral:lncRNA from 1 species